CGGGGUGGAGGGUAAGUAGUACUGGGAAAACCUGACUGGAGGGGGGAGGUAACGGGUAGAAAGGAAGACUAAUACCGCAUAACGUCGCAAGACCAAAGAGGGGGACCUUCGGGCCUCUUGCCAUCGGAUGUGCCCAGAUGGGAUUAGCUAGUAGGUGGGGUAACGGCUCACCUAGGCGACGAUCCCUAGCUGGUCUGAGAGGAUGACCAGCCACACUGGAACUGAGACACGGUCCAG
rnacentral:rRNA from 1 species